rnacentral:lncRNA from 1 species
AAAUGCAAGUUGCAUCCCCAAAUGCGAGGCUGGCCUGACCAAAAAGAGCCAGUCGGCGCCCGGAAGAGGCGAGACUCGCGCUUGGGUUCUCAAUCCUUCUCUUUUCUCCUUUCUUUUUCCCUUUCUCCUCUCCGGUUCCUGAUUUAGCUGGGAGCUGUUUAUUUAUGGCUGCAAAUGUGUGUGUUCAAGAGAGAGAGGGAAUUGAUCUUUGCCUGGACUUAAAGAUGGAGCCGAAGAAGCUGGAGGGAAUUUGGGCUUGUGCGUCUGGCCCAGACCCUGUGCGCCGAGCCCGAGGUCUAUCCUCCCCGCACCUCUCACCUCGCGACCUUGCAGGAAUCCGCGGGCCCGGAUGCUGCCCAGCUGACCCUCCUGCCCCGGGCCUGGCUGCAGAGAAAGUCUUCGGGCAGGAGGCCAUCCUGUUCCUGUCUUUAAAAUGAGCACAAUAAAAGGGGGCAAAUCCUCGAACGCGAACCUGAUCUCAUGUCACAGAAGCAACUUGCCAUGAAAUCCGCUAAUGCGCUGCGACUCGCCCACCAGGCAUCUGGGGAAAAGACGCCCUGACUCAAGGGUGU